rnacentral:tRNA from 1 species
CGGGAAAUAGCUCAGCUUGGUAGAGCACCACGUUCGGGACGUGGGGGUCGCUGGUUCGAAUCCGGUUUUCCCGA